rnacentral:rRNA from 1 species
GAUGAACGCUAGCGAUAGGCCUAACACAUGCAAGUCGAGGGGCAGCACAUGAAGUAGCGAUACGGAUGGUGGCGACCGGCGCACGGGUGAGUAACGCGUAUGCAAUCUACCUACAACAAGGGGAUAACCCGUUGAAAGACGGACUAAUACCCUAUAAUACAGGGGUCCCGCAUGGGAAUAUUUGUUAAAGAUUCAUCGGUUGUAGAUGAGCAUGCGUUCCAUUAGCUAGUUGGUGAGGUAACGGCCCACCAAGGCAACGAUGGAUAGGGGAACUGAGAGGUUUAUCCCCCACACUGGUACUGAGACACGGACCAGACUCCUACGGGAGGCAGCAGUGAGGAAUAUUGGUCAAUGGACGCAAGUCUGAACCAGCCACGUCGCGUGAAGGAAGACGGCCCUAUGGGUUGUAAACUUCUUUUGUAAGGGAAUAAAGUGAGUCACGAGUGGCUUAUGCAUGUACCUUACGAAUAAGGAUCGGCUAACUCCGUGCCAGCAGCCGC